rnacentral:rRNA from 1 species
GAGUUUGAUCAUGGCUCAGAAUCAACGCUGGCGGCGUGCCUAACACAUGCAAGUCGAACGAGAAAGGGAUUUCGGUCCUGAGUAUAGUGGCGCACGGGUGAGUAACACGUGAAUGAUCUACCUCCGAGUGGGGAAUAACCAAGAGAAAUCUUGGCUAAUACCGCAUAACACUUACGAGUCAAAGCAGCAAUGCGCUUGGAGAGGAGUUCGCGGCAGAUUAGUUAGUUGGCGGGGUAAUGGCCCACCAAGACGAUGAUCUGUAUCCGGCCUGAGAGGGCGCACGGACACACUGGAACUGAAACACGGUCCAGACUCCUACGGGAGGCAGCAGUGGGGAAUUUUGCGCAAUGGGGGAAACCCUGACGCAGCAACGCCGCGUGGAGGAUGAAGUAUCUUGGUACGUAAACUCCUUUCGAUGGGGAAGAUAAUGACGGUACCCAUAGAAGAAGCCCCGGCUAACUUCGUGCCAGCCGCCGCAGU